CAAAGGGUAAUUUAUUUAAAAUGCUAACUUUGGGUGUUAAUAAAGGAGAUACCCCCUUUGA
rnacentral:tRNA from 1 species